rnacentral:rRNA from 1 species
AUUGAGCGCUGGCGGCAUGCCUUACACAUGCAAGUCGAACGGUAACAGGUCUUCGGAUGCUGACGAGUGGCGAACGGGUGAGUAAUGCAUCGGAACGUGCCCAGUUGUGGGGGAUAACUGCUCGAAAGAGCAGCUAAUACCGCAUACGACCUGAGGGUGAAAGCGGGGGAUCGCAAGACCUCGCGCAAUUGGAGCGGCCGAUGUCAGAUUAGGUAGUUGGUGGGGUAAAGGCCUACCAAGCCGACGAUCUGUAGUUGGUCUGAGAGGACGACCAGCCACACGGGGACUGAGACACGGCCCAGACUCCUACGGGAGGCAGCAGUGGGGAAUUUUGGACAAUGGGCGCAAGCCUGAUCCAGCAAUGCCGCGUGCAGGAAGAAGGCCUUCGGGUUGUAAACUGCUUUUGUCAGGGAAGAAAUCCUCUGGGUUAAUACCCCGGGGGGAUGACGGUACCUGAAGAAUAAGCACCGGCUAACUACGUGCCAGCAGCCGCCGUAACAC